CCUAUUAGUGGGGGACAACGUUCCGAAAGGAACGCUAAUACCGCAUACGUCCUACGGGGGAAAGCAGGGGAUCUUCGGACCUUGCGCUAAUAGAUGAGCCUAAGUCGGAUUAGCUAGUUGGUGGGGUAAAGGCCUACCAAGGCGACGAUCUGUAGCGGGCCUGAGAGGAUGAUCCGCCACACUGGGACUGAGACACGGCCCAGACUCCUACGGGAGGCAGCAGUGGGGAAUAUUGGACAAUGGGCGCAAGCCUGAUCCAGCCAUGCCGCGUGUGUGAAGAAGGCCUUUUGGUUGUAAAGCACUUUAAGCGAGGAGGAGGCUCCUUUAGUUAAUACCUAAAGUGAGUGGACGUUACUCGCAGAAUAAGCACCGGCUAACUCUGUGCCAGCAGCCGCGGUAAUACAGAGGGUGCGAGCGUUAAUCGGAUUUACUGGGCGUAAAGCGUGCGUAGGCGGCUUUUUAAGUCGGAUGUGAAAUCCCUGAGCUUAACUUAGGAAUUGCAUUCGAUACUGGAAAGCUAGAGUAUGGGAGAGGAUGGUAGAAUUCCAGGUGUAGCGGUGAAAUGCGUAGAGAUCUGGAGGAAUACCGAUGGCGAAGGCAGCCAUCUGGCCUAAUACU
rnacentral:rRNA from 1 species